GACGAACCGUGCGAACGUUGUUCGGAAUCACUGGGCUUAAAGGGCGCGUAGGCGGGCUGUCAAGUCCGGGGUGAAAUCCUCCAGCUCAACUGGAGAAUGGCCUCGGAUACUGAUGGUCUCGAGGAGGAUAGGGGCACACGGAACUGUGGGUGGAGCGGUGAAAUGCGUUGAUAUCAGGAGGAACACCGGUGGCGAAGGCGGGUCACUGGUCCGGUACUGACGCUGAGGUGCGAAAGCGUGGGGAGCAAACAGG
rnacentral:rRNA from 1 species